rnacentral:sRNA from 1 species
AUUUCGGUAGGUGAGGCUACCAUAGGGAUACGGAUUGCUGCCGCGAAAUAGUGGAGACACUAUUAGAAGGUUAGCAGUUUAUGUCGAAACCAAGGCAUAGACUAAUGCAAUUACAUCGCCCUAUGAAGCUAAAACUUGAACGAUG